rnacentral:rRNA from 1 species
CCUACGGGAGGCAGCAGUGGGGGAUAUUGCACAAUGGGGGAAACCCUGAUGCAGCGACGCCGCGUGUGGGAAGACGGUCUUCUGGAUUGUAAACCACUGUCCCCAGGGACGAAAGUGACGGUACCUGGGGAGGAAGCUCCGGCUAACUAAGUGCCAGCAGCCGGGGUAAUACGUAGGGGGCAAGCGUUAUCCGGGAUUACUGGGGGUAAAGGGGGCUUAGGCGGUUAAGUAAGGCUGGAGUGAAAGGCUGGGGUCCAACCCCGGGACUGCUCUGGAAACUAGUGAACUUGAGGGCCGGAGAGGUAAGCGGAAUUCCUAGUGUAGCGGUGAAAUGCGUAGAUAUUAGGAGGAACACCAGUGGCGAAGGCGGCUUACUGGACUGUAACUGACGUUGAGGCUCGAAAGCGUGGGGAGCAAACAGGAUUAGAUACCCUUGUAGUC